AUUGAACGCUGGCGGCAGGCUUAACACAUGCAAGUCGAACGAGUGGAGGACGGGUGAGUAAUGCUUGGGAAUCUAGGUUAUGGAGGGGGAUAACUACGGGAAACUGUAGAUCAUACCGCGUACCAUAGUACGAGCCAAAUUGGGAUUAGGUAGUUGGUGAGGUAAAGGCUCACCAAGCCGACGAUCUCUAGCUGGUCUGAUAGGAUGACCAGACACACGGGGACUGAGACACGGCCCAGACUCCUACGGGAGGAAGCAGUGGGGAAUAUUGCGCAAUGGGGGCAACCUGACGCAGCCAUGCCGCGUGAAUGAAGAAGGCCUUCGGGUUGUAAAGUUCUUUCGGUAGCGAGGCGUUAACUACAGAAGAAGCACCGGCUAACUCCGUGCCAGCAGCCGCGGUAAUUC
rnacentral:rRNA from 1 species